UCUUCACCAUAUAACCUACACACAACCUCACAUUUCUAUUAAGAGAGAAUGCAAAAAUGCACACACACACCACUGCCAUAUACAAGUCAUCACUCUCAUAUACUACACCUCACUGAUCCAUUAGACAACACACAUACCAGGCCACCACUGGACCUCACAAGACAAUAUACAAUACGCACAAAGCAAAAGGAGAGAUUGGAAUACCACACCCACAAUUCACUCAGGGGGGACUCCACUUUUAUUUCCCUUUUAUUCUUUUUGGGAUACCACACACAGAUCAUAAUACAAUUCAUACGCAUAGAAUUAGGGGAAAUCAGUGAAAGUGAGAAGAAAGACAGUGAAGAAAUGGGCAAAAAUAGUAGAAACUAGAGAGAGGUCAACGGAGAAGAGAGGUGACAGGUGGGGAUUGACUAUUUUUGGUGAUUCUUCAUCGAAAUAUCAUCUCCGAGCGAACCCAGCAAUAACCAACCAAAUCCGUUAGCUAUUUAGCGAUUCCGGUGAUAACCCGCCGAAAGUAGCUAUAGUUCAAAUCCUAAACAGAAAAUCCCCGUCAACACCGAUUGACCACAACCACCUCGCUCAAAACCACCCCGCCGUAAAACAACCACACGCGCACAGACAAAAAACGCAAGGGAGGAUAAUAGAAGAAAGAAAAGGGUGGUCGCUGUUGGGUUUCGAUGUCGAGUUCGAAGAGGUUUUUCAGUUGAGGUCGUUCGUUGAGGUUCUCGAUUCCGGUUACCGACUCUUCGUCAAUUUCAUAUUUCUCAACUCUGGAUUUGGGUCAUUGCGUGAAUGUCAGAAUCACAUUUUUAUUCUGUUCUGGUUCGUGAAUUGAAAUUGAAAGCCACAUUAAGGUCCAUUUCUUAUCUCAUGCUCCACUAAUAUUUAUGUUUUUGGUACUUUGUGGGUUGAAUUUGUGGUGUUUGAACUUUAUUUUAGUUGAUAUUAAUUGAUUGAUCGAUUGGAUGAAUUAGUUAAUUAAAUGAAUCGGGCUCAAUUUAAGGUGAAUAUUGAUUUUGGGACGGUAUUGAAAAUUGUCUGGUUGGAAAUUUCAUUUGGUUUAUUUAGAUUGUUAAUUUUGAUUCAUUGAUGAUGUUAACAUGAUAGUAUUAUGAUUAGGCCAAAGCGGAUAGGCAAAUUGUAGGUCGGGUAAGCAGACGGUAGGAAUUAUGAUUGUUGAAUGCUUGAAUGAUUUUAUUUUAUCGCAUUGAAAAGAUGUAUUAAUUUAGCCUGGGAAUGCCCCGAAGAUCAUUGUAUUUACUCAUCGGGGAAUUCCCUGAAGGAUUUUGUAUGCGAAAAUGCUUGUGAUCAAGGCCCGAGGCAUCGGGUAGAGCAGAGUUUAGGUUAGCAUAGAUUUAUAUUUUUGCAUUUUUUAUUUUGGGCUGUAUAAUUGGACUGGACAUUAAAUUUUGGAUUGUUUCUUUUGUUUGUUGAUUGAUUAUUUUGCAUGCUUUUUGUGUGUUUUAUACAUUUCAUAGUGCCAAAUUAGCCGAUACGCUCCACCAAGUGAUCGUGGUCAAACCACGGGACCGAGGGGUGCCUAACACCUUCACCUUGGUCAACAGAAUUCCUUAGCUGGAAUCUCUGUUCGGAAACCAGUGUUUUAGAGUCAAAAACAAUUUUGAAAAAGGAUUUCCAAAGGUGAUUUGGCAUACCGGAUUAUGACAAGUGGCGACUCUGAAUAAAAAAUAUAAAUAAUUCUUUUCGAAAUAAAUUUUCAUCUUUUGUCAUUUUAACAAUAAAAACCUUUUCGAACCUUAAAAAUAAAAUCUUUUUAGUUAAAAAAGGGGUGUGACUGCUCUGGCGACUCUGCUGGGGAUCAUUUCAGAAUUCGAGCUUAUAUUUUGGAGUUGUAGCGGCUUAGUUUGGCAUUAUGGGUGUAUAGACAUUGUUUGUGUUGUUUUGUGUUAUUGUUUUGUUUUUCAUUGUUGAAUGCCUGCGUGCUCUUUGUUUACAGUUUUUAUCUAUGUGUUACCACUUUAUAUCUGGCAUCAUGUGCAUAACCCGAGUCAGUUUUUCUACAAUAAGUCCGUAGUGCACAAUGUGUACACGACCUCUAGUUGAGUCACCCUUAUCUUAGAAGAGCGAUUCGUCAGCUGGUAUGGAGUGGGUGGAAAGCUAAAGCAGCCACUAUCGACCAUACGCUCCCUUGAACAACCUUGUUAGUGAACCCCAACGUAGGUAAGCCUUAGGUCAUGCUUAUCUGCAUCAUAUUGAGACCUAGCGGGACCCACUUGGUCCUUUGUAGGAAACUCACCUCUAAGGCAUCCCUACGUACUAAAUGUUGCAUCUUUGAGGGUAACGAGGUCAUUUGACAAACUGAUUUGGGCCAAAGCAUGAGUUAGAAGCAAAAUGUGUAGGCAAGAAAUUGUUGAAAAAAGGGAAGAAAAAAAAAGACAGAAAAAAAAGAGAUUUGAUAUUUUUUAGGGUUAUUUAUGACUUUUUUUUUUCACAAUUUACAAAAAAAAUAUUUUUUUACUUUUUGCACUCAUUUCCCCAAAAAUUAAAAACGUUAAAAAAUUUUCUUUUAUUUCUUUAGUAAGUAUUCACAAUUCGAAAAAUCCAAAAAAAUAUUUUAUUCCUUUUAAUAGGAGCUUUGUACAUUUUUAUAUAAUGAAAAUAUCAAAAAGAUUUUUUCUUUCAUAGUUGUUGGUGUUAGUUUCUAAUUAAAAACCCAAAAAAGAUUUUAUUCGUCUGUCUUUAGUCGUGUCUCUUAAUUCAGAGUUUAGUUUGUCAUUUAAUCCUUACUUGUCCAAUCUGGACGAACUACGCACCCCUGAUUUUCCUCUCCCGGAAGUGAGAUACGUAGGCAGCCUAUUGUGGGUCGGGGAUCUUAUUUGAAAAAAAAAAAAAGAUUUUCUCCACUCUUUAUUAGAGUAGGUGUUUCAUAUACAUCUUUAAAAGAAAACUACAAAAAAGAUUUUUCCUUUAAUAGAUUCAAGUUUCAUUUUCAUAUGAAAUUCAAAAUAAAAAAUUCAAAAAGAUUUUUCUUUGGUAAUCAUAUGUUUAAUUUUGUAUAGGGAGUUUAAACUUGAAAAAUGCAAAAAAAUAUUUCAUCAAUUCUUUUGACAAUUUGUUAUUUCCUUUUCUUUUUAAAGUUUCAAGAAAAAGAAAAAAAAAUUAAUUGGCCAUUUUGGCAAGACUUCACGAACUACGCACACCUGAUUCUCCUCUUUCGGGGUGAGAUACGUAGGCGCCCCUCUUGGGUUCGGUGACCUUUUAAAAAAGAAACAAAAAAAGGUUUUGAAAAAAAAAAUGUUGAAUUUUAACGCAUUUGCUAUCUCUUGUUCAGUUAGUUUAAGGUGGUUGGUUUGUGGCAUUUUGGCUGUUCCUCCAUAUUGCACCAAGUCACAGAGAAAGUUAUGGCCAACAAAGAUAUCGAGUUUGUUGUCACUGAUCAGAUAGGGAGUUCGGGCAAUGAGAAUUUAGGAGCUAAUGAAGAGAUUCGAAAAUUAAGGCAACAAAUGAUAGAAAUGCAUUUCCUGCUGGUAAUCUGGAAUAUCUUUCUAGCUUGCCUCCAGUGUCACAUACACAGUUUCUUAUUUCUUUUGACACACCACAACAUGCAUCAAGACCUGCUUUGGGGCAACACUAUCCAAACACUUCCAAUAUUCAUUUCCUCACUCCUUAACACAAAGCUACCACAUGCUCGGCUCCACCCACUGUUCAUGUUUUUGCAGCACCACCCCUACCCGAAGCUCCUACUUUUGAGGUUUAUCCAUAAGUUUGCCUCCCCACUCUGCGAGAGAGCCUUUAUUGAAUAUUUCUUCUUAUCAAUAUGAUGCUAUUAAGCCCACAUUUAAGUCGACUAAUCCUUAUGGCUAUACUCACCCGCCUGAAUUUCCUCUUAACAUUGAGAAGCCUGUUAUAACAGAAAAACAAAAGAAAAUGACCAGAAAAUUAAGAAGUUUGGAACUGGCUUGAAAGACCUCCAGGGACUUGGGGGUACAAAAGUGUCUCAUAUAAAGAUCUGUCUAUGUUUCUAGGGGUUCAUCUUCCUUUUGAUUUUAAAAUGCCAAAGUUUGAGAAGUAUGAUGGACAUGGCAAUCCUGUUGCACAUUUGAGACAUUAUUGCAACCAACUAAGGGGCACUGGGGGGAAGAAAUAAUUACUCAUGGCAUAUUUUGGUGAGAGUCUUUCAGGCCUAGCUUCAGAAUGGUUUGUUGACCAAGACAUCGACAAGUGGAUUAGUUGGGAUGACCUAGCUAAUGAAUUUGUGUAAUAAUUCCAAUACAAUGUGGAUUUGAUUCCUGAUGAGAAAUACCUAACUAACAUGAAGAAAAAGAGUACUGAGACUUUCAGAGAGUAUGCGAUUAGAUGGCGUGAACAAGCUGCUAGGGUGAAACCGUCAAUGAAAGAAAGUAAGAUAGUGGAGGUAUUUAGUCAAGCGCAGGAUGAAACAUAUUAUCAACACUUGUUACCUGCAUUAGGCAAGCCAUUUAUUAAGGUACUCAAAAUGGGGGAGAUGAUAGAAGAUGGAAUUAAAACCGGCCGCAUUGUGAGUUUUGCAACAUUGAAAGCGACUACUCAAGCAAUUCAAAAAGUUUUGGGAAGUGUCGGAGGGAAGGAGUAUAAGGAAGAUGCAUCUGCCAUUGUAGUUGGACAACAGGACCAUACUAUUAUUACCCACAAGCUCAAACCCAAGUUUAUGCCCAAACUCCACAAAAUCUUUCCCAAAAUCCAUUAUAUUCCAUUCCCCCACCUCCAUAUCAAGUGUAUAAUGCACAACCAUAUGUUCAACCUCCAUCUUACCCACACUGGCGUGUGCCAACUCUGUCGAGUCAUCCUCUAACUCCACAUACAUACCGAAGCCCUUCUAGGCCUGGUUUUCAAUUUAAGCCAAACGAUGAAAUAUAAUUUCGAUAGUCAAUUAAUUUUUUUAUGUUGACAUAUUAUUUUAUGUCUCUUUUACCUUUUUUUUUAUGAAAUAUUAUCAUUUUUUCAAUGCUUAGACGAUCAUAAUAAUUAAUUAGUGGUGAUAUAGUAAAACCACGGUAAAAGCAGUGAAACACACAUGUCUUAAGUGACUUGUAAUAACUAAUUAGAAGCGACAUAGCAAAAUUAUUAUAAAAAAUAUUUGUAUAAUAAUUAAUUAACGAUAGUACACUAAAAUUACGAUUGAAACAAUUGAAACAAUCAUAAAUGUCUAUUUUAUUUUUUUUCUAAUUAAAUAUUAUUAAUUUUUUAAUAUGUAAAUAACUUAUAAAAUCUAAUUUGGAAUACAAUAAUUAAUUAGGGAUGGUAUAGUAAAAUUACAUUGAAGAAGCUGAAGCAGACAUAUCAUAAAUGUCUAUUUUAAUUUUUUAUUAAAUAUUAUUAAUUUUCUAAUACAUAAAUAAUUUAUAAUAAUUAAUUAGGGGUGAUAUAAUAAAAUUGCAGUUCAAUUAGCUGAAGCAGACAUGUCAACCUCGUGCUUGCUUUGUUGAUACAGUAAAAUUAUGAUUGAAGCAGCUGAACCAGUCAUAAAUGUCUAUUUUACCUUUUUAUCUAAUUAAAUAUUAUUAAAUUUUGAAUACAUAGAUAACUUAUAAUAUUUAAUUAGGGAUACAAUAAUUAAUUAGGGGUGAUAUAGUAAAAUUACGGUUGAAGCUCAGAAGCAGACAUGUCAUAAAUGUCUAUUUUAAAUUUUUUAUUAAAUAUUAUUAAUUUUCUAAUAUAUAAAUAACUUAUAAUAAUUAAUUAGGGAUGAUAUAGUAAAAUUAUAGUUGAAGCAGCUGAAACAGGCAUGUCGACCUCCUGCCUACUUAUCUCGCUCUUAUAAUAUAAGAGAACUAGAUACCGAGGGCCCGUGCAAUAUAAAUUAUUAUUUUGCUUCAAUUUAUGUGACACGAAUAAAAUUUAGAUAAUUAAUUACAUUUUUAAUAUGUUUUUAGAUAUUUUAAGUUGUUAACUAUUGUAAUUUUUAGUACUUUUUUUACGUAAUUUUCAAAAAAUAUAUGCUACUCUCCUUGUGCAAUCUUUUGUGGCAUUGAUAGUCAAUUAUAUUUUAAAAAUAAUUUAAUUUUUAAAUUAUUGUGAUUUAUAAUAAUUUUUCGUCCAUUCUACUAAUUAGAAGUGACAUACUAAAAUUAUCAUUUUAUAUCUAUUUUUUACUAUGUAUUAUUAAUCUUUUAAAUACUUGGAUGACUUAUAAUAAUUAAUUAUGGGUGAUAUAGUAAAAUCACGAUUGAAACAGUUAAAACAAACAUGCUAAAAAUAUUUAUUUUACUUGUUGUAUUAAAUAUUAUUAAUUUUCUAAUAUGUAGAUGAUUUAUAAUAAUUGGUUAGCGGCGAUACAGUAAAAUUACUAUUGAAGUAGCUGAAACAGGCAUGUUGAUCUGCUACCUGCUUCAGCUGAUGAACUGCCUUUAUCAAAAUUACUUUAAAGAACUAUCUGUGAAAAAAUUUAAGAAGGUCUCAUAUAAGUCGUCAAGUUAAUUUAAAACAUCAAGAGUUAAUUUUUAGUUUGUGUCUAUUUUACCUUUCUAUUAAAUAUUAUUAAUUUUUUAAUGCUUAGAUGAUUUAUAAUAAUUAAUUAAGGGUGAUAUAGUAAAAUUAUGGUUAAAGCAGCUGAAGCAAACAUGUCAUAAAUAUCUAUUUUAUUUUUUCUAAUUAAAUAUUAUUAAUUUUUUACUAUGUAAAUGGCUUAUAAUAUUUAUUCAUGAAUAUAAUAUUAAUUAGGUGUGCUAUAGUAAAAUUACGAUUGAAGCAGCUGAAACAAACACGUCAUAAAUAUUUAUUUUAUUUUUAUUAAAUAUUAUUAAUAUUCUAAUACAUAAACAACUUAUAAUAAUUAAUUAUGGGUGAUAUCGUAAAUUUACAAUUGAAGCAGCUGAAGCAGGCAUGUCGACCUUUUGCCUGCUUCAACUGCUAAACGACCUUUUAUAAAUAAGAGAAAAGAUAAGAGAUUUUACUUAUUUGUAUUAAAUAUUAUUAAUUUUUUAAUACGUAAAUAACUUAUAAUAAUUAAUUAGGGGUGAUGCAAUAAAAAUACGAUUUAAGUAGCUGAAGCAGGCAUGUCGACCUGCUGCCAGCUUCACUGCUUCUUAUAAAUAAGAGAAUAUAUUUUGGCACUAUAUAUACAUUUCUUAUCCUUUUUCUUUUGGGUAUCCAUCAGUGGCGGAGCUAGAAUUUUCACCAAAGGGGUUCACAAGUGAACAUACGAACUAAUCGAAGGGGGUUCGACAUUUACUAUAUAUACAUAAAAAAUAAUUUUAAUCAUAUUUAUUUAAUAUAAUUUUUCAUCAAAGGGGGUUCGGAUGAACCCCUAAAUUAAGCAUAGCUCCGCCCCUUGUAUCCAUCUUUCACUGUUUUGUACUGCUCUUUCGUGCAUUUUUUAUCAUCAAUAAACAUAUUUGCUGACAAAGAUAUGUGUGAUUUGAUUUUCUAGUAGUCUUAUUUAGUAAAAUUUUUUUUUUCGUAUUUUGUAUUAAUUUUUUGAUCUCACCUAUGAGAUUAUACUAAAUUUAUUUUUAUUUUUAUCAUAUAACAAUUUAACUUCUAAGUAGGAGCACAACAUGUGCGAUAUUAACUUACUUUUUUACGGUUAUUAUUCAUAAUGUAUUAAUUUUUGUGUUGAAAUGAAGACAAAAAAUGUCAAUGAAGCAUUGAGGAGAAGAACAAAGGGACCACUUGACAUGAAUAUAUUUUUUGAAAUAUAUUUUUCUGUUUUCUCUAAAUAGUUUAAAUUUCUACACUAUUUGUUUACUUUUCUUUGUCGCUAUACUAUAAAUAAAUUAAGAGAUAGUUUAUAAUUUAUUUUUAAAUUUAUCUUUAUUGUUAAUUUUAAUUAUUUUCAAAAUAUUAAAUUCAUUGUAUUCAAAGGACAAUAAAAAUAUAUAAUAAAAUUAUCAUUCAAUUUAUUGCUUCUUAGAAGAUAUGUCAAGUCAAUAUUAGACAAACAAAAAUAAAUGGAGAAAGUAUUCUUUAAAUUUGACUUGCGAAAGAAAACAACAUUUGAUGUCGUCUCUUUCACCCCAUGUAAGGUAUCUAAUUUUCUUAUUAUUUGAAUAUUUUGAUGUUUUGAUUUGUUAAUUUGUGAUUUUAGGAACAAGAGAGUUAGGGCUUUGGGUGAAGUCAGUCAAUUAACUCAUUCUCUUAGAUUACAUUUUAGAAAUAUUAAAAAAAUUGUGUGAAGAGUUAGAAAGAAUUAUUUCAUGUACCUAAUAAGAUAGUUAGAAUAGCGCGAAACGCGGACCAUUUCAAUAUUAUUGUUAUAAAUUAAUCUCUAUAAAUGAAUGAUCUUUAGGGAGUAGUUGGUAUUUAGAAACUAAAAAGGCAAAAUAUCUAUUGAUCCUUGUAGUUGUCCGAGUUUGUGACGUGAACAUUUCUACUUAGUCUUUUAUCACCUGAAUUUUAAACUCAACAAAUCAUAAUAUUUUAAACUAAUCUGAUCAUUGACUAAGCCUAGGUGAAAACUUAACGGAUGAAUUGAAAAAAAUGCAUAAUUUUGCGUAGGUUGAACGCAUAUACAUAUAAUUUUUAAUUAAAAAUAACAAAAAUUAAUAAAUAAAUAAAUAGAAUUUCUUUCUUUCUUUGCACCACCCACGGUACUCCCAGUCUCCCACCCCUUUAUUUUCCCCAUUUUUACCACCAACACCAUACCCCUUGCCCUCCAUUUUCCUGCUAUUACCCCUCCAUCACCCACCUGGACAUCUUCCCCCUCACCACUAAAUAUUGAUAGAUAUUUUAAAAAUAAUUAAUUAAGCGUUUUAAAAUUACUUUGUGACAAAAAAAAAUAUGAAAUCCACCUGUCCACUUAGCAAAUUCAUGCCCAAGUAUUUUACUUGAUGACAAAGAAAAUAAAAGAAAAAAAGGUGUGUAUAUUCUGCCCAAAGAAAUACUUUGAUUUUCAUUACUAUUAUCGCUCUACAUUGCUAUUAAUAGCCAAUACCUUUUAUUCUAUUAUCGCUCACAGUUAGAAUCGCUAGACACAUGGGCUUAUUAUAAGUAUGUAUUAGUAUUCUGAUGGGCCCUUUGUUCGGCUAAAGAUUCCAUACAGUCAUUUAGCUAUUUGAAAAUUCUUUUAUAUUUUGGUUGGUGCUUUGGUUCGAUUUUCUGACUAUGCUUUCCUAUAUUAAUUAAGAGGUCUGGACGGCUGAGCGGCUUACCCCAGCCUGAUAGGUCCUAUCAAAUUGGUAUCAGAGCCUAGGAACUUUCAUAGUAAUUAUAUAGUAGAUCUGAAGUCUAUGACAUAGAUAUGAAGUUUUAUAUAAAUGGAUAUGGGAGAAGUUAGUACGAAAAGUACUAAACUAGAAGAGGUAGGACUUAUUAAAUAAAUGAACUAUUCCACAAGUAGAUAUAAAAAUCAUUUAUGAUUAUGGCUUUCUUGAUAGAUUUAAAUAUAAGCAGAUAAUAAAAACCACUGAACAAUCUAUUGCUCUGAAUGCUGACGAACAAACCAUAAAAUUAUUGAAUAAAAAAGAUAUUGAUAUAUUUAAAAAUCAUUAUAAUUUUAUGCAUAUUGGUUUAGUGCAAAUUUCUUUUAAACCGCUAACCUUAAAAGGUCUUCCAAAGACAUUUCUAGUUGCAUUACGUGAUGCUAAAAAUUUAAAUUUCAAACAAUCUCUGAUGGAAUCUAUAGAAUCUACUCUUGCAUAUGGCCCUGUAUAUUUUAACACUCAGCCAAAUUUACAACUAUCUUUGACUGAUAUGCAUAUUCUCGAUGCUUUAAUUUUAAAUGUGAAAACUCAUGGCUAAAAUUAUGCGCCUGGAUCUGAACUUAUAUGUUUGUCUUAUUAUAUUUAUUAUCGUUUAUUAUCUACUUUAAAUCCUCGAUGUAAGUUAAUCAAAGAUGCUUCUAAUUCUACUAUGCUUAUCGAAACCAAUUUUGCAAAAUCCAAGGUCACUACAAGGAGACUUAUUAGAUGGGAUGAGAUUAAUUUCCCAAAAACUUGGGUUUUAAAUUCAGUCAUUUCUCCAAAAAAACUUUCGGAGGAUGUGACAAAUUCAGAGUUAGCUCAUGUAACUCAAAAUACAGACGACAGAAUUUGUCUCCAAUUUAACGAUAAUUCUACCGUUUAUAAUCGAAAUUCCUUUUCUAUACCAAGAAUGUUACAUGCUAUGCAUCAUAUCUCACCAGUUGAACCAGUAUAUGGUCCUUCUAGAAGUCGUGCUGCAUCUUUGCAUACUAUAAAUUCUGCAGAUUCACAUACUCUAUUUAAAAAUAUUGAAAAAAUUAAAAUCAAUCCUAAAACAAAUAUAGUUCAAGAUAAUGAUAAUAUCCCAGAUAGGGAUAAUCCCACUCCCUCUGAAAUGGAGUUUGAUGUCAAUUCUUGUUAAUCAUGAUUCCACAUCUAAUUAUUUUAGUCCUGGUUCACCAGCCAGAAAUUAUAUUAAAAUAGAUUUUUUUCUGAAAAAUGGAAAACGUUUAGGACAUGAUUUUUUGAAACCUAUAGUUCUGAUGAAUUAAAAAAAAUUUCUGAAGAAUUUUAUGAAAUUUGUCCAUUGCAUAAUCAAAUUGUUUACUUUGUGCCAUGGUAUAUGUCUGCGUAUUUGCCUUUAUAUGAAAAAAUUAUUGAAAGGUCAUAUCAAAAUGCCGAUGGUACUGUAACUCAGACUAUUUAUCCCCCUCAAUAAUCUUUCAUAUUAUCCAAUAAUACUGGUAUAACCUUCUCUGCUUUUCAAAAAUUCGUUGAUAAUGAAGUUGGAAAAAUCACUAUUUCUGAAAUAAAUAGUUUAAUUACUCAAAAUAAUUAUUUAAGCCUUUAUGUGAAAGUUCUUGGAGAACAUAUUUCCUCUCUUGAUAAAAAGCUAGAUAUCAUGACUGAUUUGAUUAAGAAGCUAAGCGAUAGUCAAAAGUUAUCUGAUAUUGCUUCUACCUUAGAAAGCAAAAUAGAAGAUUUGACAGCUAAGCCUCAUAUUCAAAGACCUCCUGAUAUUCAAGGAUUUCGAAAACCCACUGAUUUAGAACAACUUGAAAAACUUCUUGAAAAGAAAUUUUCUAGUUUAAAUAUAAAACCCAUGGAUCUGUCUAAUAGUUUUGCUGAUUCUAUUCAAUCUAUUUCCAGUAAUUUUGAGGAUAUACAAUCCACUCCAAUCUCUAAGAUAGGAGCAGAAAUUCACUCAGAGUUAAAUAAACUCAGAGGAAUGGUGAGAAAACAAUCGGGGACAAAAUAUGCUGAUAUUCCCCAUAUGCAAACUGCCUAUUAUCCAAGACCAAAUCCUCAAGAUGUUCUGGUAGAAGAAAGAGAUUGGUUUUUAACAAACACGUUUUAUAGUGGAGAACAUAUAUAGGAAUGGAACUUAGAUGGAUUAACUGAAAGACAUUUAUCUAUUUUAGUCUAUUAAAUGUUAAUGUAUUCUAUUAUUGCAAAAGUAUCUAGUCCUAAAGAUGACGAUGGUGAGCCUGUUAGGACGGAUGCUACUAUAUGUAAAAUGAUUGUUGCAGGUUUUACUAGCCAACUUCGUGGCUGGUGGGACUAUUUCCUUUCAAAUGAAGAAAGAAACAAAAUUUUUGAAGCCAAAAAUCUGUUGCUUGGUGUUGAUAACCUAGGUAGAAAAUUGCCAGCGGGUAUAGAAGACGCUGUUUACAUCCUUAUGCUUACUAUUAUUCAACACUUUGGAGGUAGAUUUACCAAUCAAUAUGAAAAUACUCGCACCUUCUUAAAUGGUCUUAGAUAUCGAUAUUUAGGGAAAUUUAGAUGGUAUAAAGAUACUUUCCUUGCUAGGGAUAUGGAUUUACCCGAAUCUAGAUUAGAACACUGGAAAGUAAGAUUCGUAGAUGGACUUCCUCCUCUGUUUGCUGAAAGGGUAAGAAAAUCUAUUAAAGGACAAUAUGGUGCAAUUCCUUGGACAGAUUUUACUUAUGGCUAGCUUCUAGUAGCUUGUACCAAAGAAGGACUAAAAAUUUAUAAUGAGUUGAAACUGUCUAGACAAAUUAAGAUAGAUAGGAUCAAAGAAAGAACCCAACAAGGAGACUUUUGUGGUCAAUUUGGAAUGGAAAAUCCUAUCUCUAGCAAAAGAGGCCAUAGAACUAGUAACCCAGAAAAACCUCAUAGAAAAAGAAGGUAUAGAAACAAAUCUAAAGAAGAGUGUGAAGCCAGAAAAUCCCAUCUUAUGUCGACUAGAUUUACGAAAAAUAGGUCCAAAAGUGAUCUAGCAAAAAUCAAGUGUUAUAAGUGUAAGCAAUUUGGUCAUAUUGCUCCAAAUUGUAAGCUCCAAAAACUUAAGUCUCUAGAACUCUCUGAAGACAUGCAUGAUAAAAUUUAUGAUUUAUUAUAUACUUCAGGUUCUGAGUCUAAUUAUGAAUAUGAAUCUGAGAAUAUUAUUGAAUUACCUGAUUCCACGGAUAGUGAGAAUUAUGAAAAAACCUGAGGCUAAUGCCUGCACAGAUUUCUCUAACAAUGUUUUUGAUUGUAAAAAUAUUUUUUAUAAAUUACAAUCCCCGUUUGAAGAUUUAGAUUUAAACGUUCAAACAAUUACUGCUAAUAGUGCUUUAGAACUAUUGAAAGAAGUUAUUGAUGAAAAACUUCGCCAAAAAAAUAUUGAUCUUGCUUCCUCACAACCUAGCACUUUAAAGCCUGCUAAUAAUAAAGUUAUUAAGUAAAAAUAAAAAAAUUCUGAUUCUGUUAUUGAUAUGAUGCCCUAUUCUCUAACUGAAGUUAAUAGACUUCUUGGCAUUAGUCAAACUCCUGGUACAUAUACGUCUUUUAACGAUUUAAAAAUAGAAGUUGAAAACCUGAAAAAAGAGAUUAUUUUUUUAAGACAAAAUCAAAUAAUUUUAGAUCAUAGAAUUUCGAAAAUUGAAAAAAAUAUUUUCUAAAAUGACAUUGUUUCCAAUUUUAAAGGAAAAGAAAAGGUUGCUGAAAAUUCUGAAAAUUAUAUUGUUCGUGAUAUGGAUGUAAAAAAUGAUUAUUUUUUGUGUAUGAUGCAAAUAGUUAAUGCCCAUAAAUGGUAUAUAAAUUGUACUAUAUUGAUUAAUAACGAAUUUUCUGUAACUAAUGUGGCUAUGAUUGAUAGUGGUGCUGAUGUUAGCUGCAUUCAAGAAGGAUUAAUUCCAACCAGAUAUUUAAAAAAAAAAUGCAUAUUGUUAGAUCUGCCUCUGGUCAUUCCCUGGAUAUUAACUAUAAAUUGCCGCAUGCGUAUAUUUGUAGAAAUAAGGUUUGCAUUCCACAUUUCUUUUUUCUAGUCAAAAAUCAAUUAUAUCCCCCUAUUAUUUUAGGAACACCUUUUAUAAAUGCUAUUUAUCCCUACACACAUAUUGAAGCUAAAGGCUUCAAAGCCACCUAUAAAAAUCAAGAAAUUUCUUAUCCUUUUGUUACAGAUCCAGUAACACGAGACAUAAAUGCUUUGAUUGAUAUGAAGCAAAAACAUGUGAAUCUUUUAUAGCUUGAAAUGAUGAGUACUAAUAUUUAUAAUACAAUGAAUUCUGCAAAAAUUUAGGAAAAAAUCAAAUUGGCAUCUACUCAACUGAUUGUUGAUAUUUGUGCUGGUCACCCAAAUGCUCUUUGGACUCGCAAAGAGCAUAUUGUUUCUCUUCCUUAUGAAGAUGAUUUCAGAGAAGAUCAUAUUCUGACAAAAUUCAAAUCCUGUAAAAUGAAUACAGAGUUAGUAGGAUUCUGUAAAAAAGAGAUAGAAGGUCUCCUACAAAAGGGUCUCAUAAAACCCUCAAAAUCCCCUUAGUCUUGUACUGCUUUAUUUGUCAAUAAUGCUGCUGAAAAAGAACGAGGUACGCCAAGAUUAGUAAUUAAUUAUAAACCUCUGAAUAAAGUUUUAAAAUGGAUUAGGUAUCCAAUACCUAAUAAAAAAGACUUACUAUCUAGAUUAUAUGAUGCCAAUAUAUUUUCAAAAUUUGAUCAAAAAUCUGGUUAUUGGCAAAUUCAAAUUGAUAAAAGGCAUACUUAUAAAACUGCCAUUAAUGUCCCUUUUGGACAAAUUGAUUUAAAAAAUGCUCCUUCUGAAUUUCAAAAAAUCAUGAAUGAUAUAUUUAAUGCCGAUAUGGAUUUUAUAAUUGUAUAUAUUGAUGAUAUCCUUGUGUUUUCAGAAACAAUAGAAUUACAUUCUAAACAUCUGAAUAUUUUCAAACAAAUUGUGAUACAAAAUGGUUUGGUUAUUUCUAAACCAAAAAUGUGUUUGUUCCAAACAAAUGUUCGAUUUUUAGGACAUAAUAUUUGUAAAGGAACAAUUGAGCCUAUACAAUGAGCUAUGGACUUUGCUGAAAAAAUUUCUGAUAUUAUUACUGAUAACUCAGUUGCAGCGAUUUCUAGGAAGUCUUAACUAUAUUUCUCCCUUUUAUUAGAAUCUAUCUAAAGAUUUAGAUCCUUUAUAUGAUAGGUUAAAAAAAUAUCACAAAAAGCGUUGGACUCAAGUCCACACCGAUCUGCUAAGAUUAAUAAAAAAAUGUGUUGCGACUCUGCCUUGUUUAACCUUAGCUAAUCCAGCUUGGUUAAAAAUAGUUAAAACUGAUGCUUUAAAUAUUGGUUAUGGAGGAAUACUUAAACAAAUUAAUCCCUAUAAUAAUGUUGAAUGUUUGGUUAGAUUUCAUUCUGGAAAAUGGUCUGAAAGUCAGGAAAAAUACGCCACUGUGGCCCAUGAAAUGUUAACUAUUGUUAAAUAUGUUUUAUAAUUCCAAGAUGAUUUAUAUAAUCAAAAAUUAAUAGUUCGAACAGAUGCUCAAUCUGUUUAGUACAUGUUCGUCAAAGAUUUUAAACAUGAUGCCUCUAAAUUGAUAUUUGUAAGAUGGCAAGCCCAGCUAGCCCCUUUAGAUUUCAAAAUUCAAUACAAGAAAUGUAGUAAAAAUUCUUUGCCUGAUUUCCUAUCUAUGGAAUACUUAAAUAAUUAAAUGAAUUAUUACACAUACUUUUUUUCUGAAAAAACAAUAAUUACUAUUAUAAAAUGCAUUCCUCUAAAUGAAGAUAUUCAUUUUAUCAUAUUAGAAAAACUUAUCCAUAAUAUGAUAGAAGAAGAUUUAUUUCUUUCCAAUUUUGAAGAUAUACUAGAUGAAAUUGAUUGGUCUGAUAUUGACUCAUCAUUUGAUAAAUUCUAAUCUACUUAAUGCAGAAUACUCCUCUUCCAGGGGAAGAAACUCCCCCUCAUCAUCAUAUGCUUCUUCAUCAUCUAAUUUUCCAGUAUUGCAAAGGGGAAAUAUAAGUCUGAUUAAUGCAAGAAUUCUGCAAAUUGCAGAAUCAUCUUCUAAAACUCCGCAUAUGAGCACUUCAAUCCAUUUGAACGAGAUUCCAUAGGAUCAUCGUUUAUUUGAGCAACUACGAUCUUUUAUAUCUUCCAAGCAAGCCGAUUCGUUUACUUUAGUUGCCAAAGAAAACACUGCCGAUAGGCAAAAUUAUGAAAAACUUGAAAAUCGAGAGCUAAUAGUUCACGUAGAAAAUUCUCAAAUAUGUAAAAAAAAUGAUCCAUGGAAACUCCUUCAAAAAUAUUUAUUAACUGACCUCUAUUUUGCAGGAGAAUCUAACAAGACAAGAGCCUUUUAUGAAUCAAUACUAGUGGCUACUGGAAGUAUUGAAAUAGAACACCAUCAAAUGGGUGAAACAACUCCAGAUGUUCAUGGAUACUCCAAGAUGGUCAUUAAAAAACUCAUAUCAAUAGAAGAUUGGGGAACCACUUCCAUGACAAAAAAAUUCAUGACAAUGAAAGGAUAAAAAAUCGCCUUAACUUAUUGGGACUAUAUGAAAGCCUUUACCCAAACCUUAUAUUAUAACAAUAUUAAACAUAAAAAUACUUGGUUUCUAAAGUUUUUUUCUAAAGUCUUUGAAGACCCAAUUCCCAAUUGGUUUAUUCAAUGGUGGUUGUAUCAUGGCCCUAUAGUAAAAAUUCUGCUAGUAGAAUAUUUGCAUCUGUACAAAGAAUGGAUUAAAGUGUCACCAUUUCUAACAGACUUAUAUUAUUCAGAUCAUGUCUGUAAUCUAGAUAAAAUUGACCAAAUGUAUUUCUUUAUAGAAUUAUCCAUUCCAUGGAUAUAUAAAUGGAGUGUUGAAUUCAGAUACAUGAAAGAACAAAUACCCGGAUUUUAUAGGGUAUUCUACACCAAUUUUUGGGAAAAGCUAACAAGAAAUGACCCUCUCACUAAGCUCUUGCAUGGACGAGAAUUUGUCGAAUCCAUUAAUCAGAAGAUCGUCGGAUCCACCACUGCUCCACAAAAAAUAUUGUGGAAGAUAAAAACCUAAGUUACAUUUCUAGAAGAAUCUCUAUACAUGACAAAGACAGAUUAGAAAUGAUUGAAAAAUACUUAAAAGAAGUUCAAAAAAAUUUGAUGAAAACUGUGGAACAAUGUUCGGAUACUUCCAUAAAGAGUCUUACGAGUGAAGAAGCAGCUGAAUCUGAAGAUAUUCAAGAAUCCCAGCCACUUCCUCCUGAAAAUAUUCUUAAUGAUAAAGAAAUUGAAAGAGCUUAGGCCUUACUCUAUCAACUAAAAAGCAAAGGAAAAGACAAGAUAUGAUAGGUUUUCUAUGGUUGUUUUCUAUGUAUAGGACCCAUAUAUGGGACCCUUAAAUAAUAAAAAUACUAUGCGCAGGGACCUACUAGUACUGUGCAAGAUGCUUUUUAUUUCUAUAUAUAUAGACGCCUCAUCUGUUAUAAGCUAGAAAAAUUUUCUCUCUUUCAAUUUUCUCUCUCUAAGUCUCCUCUUCUUUCUUUCUUCCCUUCUUGUAUAAUAUUUCAAGUCUUUAAUAAAAGAAGGCAGCUAGCCGGCAUUUACUAUUCAGGCCUUGCAUCCGUCCAUUAUUAAGGUAUUUAUUUAUUUUCUUUUAAAGUACUUCUAAUAGUUUUUCUUUCCUUCCAGCCGUGACUAUGUCCGGAUAAAAACCUUUCAUAUCUAUGCCAGAGAUCUAACUUCUCUUACUUAGUAUUUAUGAAAGAUCUAGCCUCUAUCAAAAUAUGAAAGAAUUUUUAUAUAGUUUCUUGACUUGGUUCUGAAAUGGUUGGUACAGUCGAAAUUAGUCCUGCUUAUGAUGGCUUUGUCUUAAUGACUACAUCUAGCAAGCUAUGGUUUCUAAGCCUCCUAAAGAUAAAUAAAAGGGUGUUAUUUUCAAAGUUAGAAUCACUAGACACAUGGGCUCAUUAUAAGUAUGUAUUAGUAUUCUGACAGGCUCUUUGUUCAGGUGAAAGAUUCCAUACAGUCAUUUAGCUAUUUGAAAAUUCUCUUAUACUUCAGUUGGUGCUUUGGUUUGGUUAUCUGACUACGCUUUCUAAUAUUAAUUAAGAGGUCUGGACAGUUGAGCGGCUUACCCCAGCCUGAUAGGUCCAGUAGUUUUGGAGAAAUGACUGAAUUUAAAACCCAAGUUUUUGGGAAAUUAAUCUCAUCCCAUCUAAUAGGUAUCCUUGUAGUGACCUUGGAUUUUGCAAAAUUGAUUUUGAUAAGCAUAGUAGAAUUAGAAGCAUCUUCGAUUAAUUUACAUCUAGGAUUUAAAGUAGAUAAUAAAUGAUGAUAAAUACGAUAAGACAAACAUAUAAGUUCAGAUUCCCAAUUACCUGAAUCUAGAUUAGAAUACUGGAAAGCCAUAUUCGUAGAUGGACUUCCUCCUCUAUUUGCUGAAAGGGUUAGAAAAUCUAUUAAAGGACAAUAUGGUGCAAUUUCUUGGACGGAUUUCACUUAUGGCCAGCUUCUAGCAGCUUGCACCGAAGAAGGACUAAAAAUUUAUAAUGAGUUGAAACUAUCUAGACAAAUUAAGCUAGAUAGGAUCAAAGGAAGAACCCAAUUAGGAGACUUUUAUGGUCAAUUUGGAAUGAAAAAUCUUGUCUCUAGCAAAAGAUGCCAUAGAACUAGUAACCCAGAAAAAACUCAUAGAAAAAGAAGGUAUAGACACAGAUCUAAAGAAGAGUGUGAAGCCAAAAAAACCCAUCGUAAGUCUACUAGAUUUACGAAAAAUAGGUCCAAAAGAGAUCUAGCAAAAAUCAAGUGUUAUAGGUGUAAGCAAUUUGGUCAUAUUGCUCCAAAUUGUAAGCUCCAUAAAACUUAAGUCUCUAGAUCUCUCUGAAGACAUGCAUGAUAAAAUUUAUGGUUUAUUAUAUAAUCCAGGUUCUGAGUCUAAUUAUGAAUAUGAAUCUGAGAAUGAUAUUGAAUUACCUGAUUCCACGGAUAUUGCAAAUUAUGAAAAACCUGAGGUUAAUGUCUUCACGGAUUGCACUAACAAUGUUUGUGAUUGUGAAAAUACUUUUUUAUAAAUUAAAAUCCCAGUUUGAAGAUUUAGAUUUAAAUGUUCAAACAAUUACUGUUGACAGUGCUUUAGAGUUAUUGAAAGAAGUUACUAAUGAAAAACUUUGCCAAUAUCAGAUAACUUUUGACUAUUGCUUAGCUUCUUUAUCAAAUCAGUCAUGAUAUCUAGCUUUUUAUCAAGAGAAAAAAUAUGUUCUCCAAGAACUUUCACAUAAAGGAUUAAAUAAUUAUUUUGAGCAAUUAAACUAUUUAUUUCAGAAAUAGUGAUUUUUCCAACCUCAUUAACAACGAAUUUUUGAAAAGCAGAGAAGGUUAUUCCAGUAUUGUUGGGUAGUAUGAAAGCUGAUUGAGGGGGAUAAAUAGUUUGAGUUACAGUACCAUCGGCAUUUUAAUAAGACCUUUCAAUAAUUUUUACAUAUUAAGGAAAAUAUGCAGACAUAUAUCAUGGAACAAAGCAAACAUUUUGAUAUACAAUGCACACAUUUCAUAAAAUUCUUCAGAAAUAUUUUUCAAUUCAUCAUAACUAUAGGUUUCAUAAAACCAUGUCCGAACGUUUUCCAUUUUUCAGAAAAAAAUUCUCUUUUAAUACAAUUUCUGGCUGGUGAAUCAGAACUAAAAUCAAUUAGCUGUGGAAUCAUGAUUAACAAGAAUUAACAUCAAACUUCAUUUUAGAGGGAGUGGGUUUAUCCUUAUCUGGGAUAUUAUCAUUAUCUUGAACAAACCUACGUUAUAUUUCUAGAAGAAUCUCUGUACAUGACGGAUAAAAAUUAAAAAUAAUUAAAAAAUACUUGGAUGAAGUCUGAAAAAAUUUGAUGAAAGCUGUGGAACAAUGUUCAGAUACUUUCAUCAAGAGUCUUACAAGUGAAGAAGCAGCUGAAUCUGAAGAUAUUCAAGAAUCCCAGCCACUUCGUCCUGAAAAUAUUCUUAAUGAUAAAGAAAUUGAAAGAGCUGAGGCCUUACUCUAUCAACUAAAAAGCAAAGGAAAAAACAAGAUAUGAUAGGUUUACUAUGCUCGUCUUCUAUGUAUAGGACCCAUAUAUGGGACCCUUAAAUAAUAAAAACACUAUGCACAGGGACCCACCAGUACUGUGCAAGAUGCUUUUUAUUUCUAUAUAUAUAGACGCCUCAUCUGUUAGGGAGGCAUAAGCUAGAAAAAUUUUCUCUCUUUCAGUUUUCUCUCUCUAAGUCUGCUCUCCCGUCUCUCUACCCUCUUGUAUAAUAUUUCAAGAAGGCAGCUAGCCGAUAUUUACUAUUUAGGCCUUGCAUCCGGCCAUUAUUAAGGUAUUUAUUUAUUUUCUUUUAAAGUACUUCUAAUACUUCUUCUUUCCUUCCAGCAGUGACUAUGUCCAGCUAAAAACCUUUCAUACCUAAGUUUGAACCUUUAGAAACCAAGUAUGUUUUUGUUUAGUAUUGUUAUAAUAUAAGGUUUGGGUAAAGGCUUUUAUAUAGUCCCAAUAAGUGAAAGCAAUUUUCGAUCCUUUCAUUGUCAUGAAUUUUUCUGUCAUGGAAGUGGUUUCCCAGUCUUCUAUUGAUAUGAGUUUUUUAAUGAUCAUCUUGGAGUAUCCAUGAACAUCUAGAGUUAUUUCACCCAUUUGAUGGCAUUCUAUUUCAAUACUUCUAGUAGCCACUAGUAUUGAUUCAUAAAAGGCUCUUGUCUUGUAAGAUUUUCCUACAAAAUAGUGGUUAGUUAAUAAAUGUUUUUGGAGGAGUUUCCAUGAAUCAUUUUUUUUACAUAUUUGCGAAUUUUCUACGAGAACUAUUAGCUCUUGAUUUUUAAGUUUUUCAUAAUUUUGCCUAUCAACAGUGUUUUCUUUGGCAACUAAAGUAAACAAAUCAGGUUGCUUGGCAGAUGUAAAAAAUUGUAGUUGCUCAAAUAAAGGAUGAUCCUAUGGAAUCUCGUCCAAAUGGAUUGAAGUGCUCAUAUGCGGAGUUUUAGAAGAUGAAUUUGCAAUUUGCGAAAUUCUUGCAUUAAUCAGACUCAUAUUUCCCCUUUGGAAUACUAGGUAAUUGGAUGAUGA
rnacentral:lncRNA from 1 species